GAGUUUGAUCGUGGCUCAGGAUGAACGCUGGCGGCGUGCCUAAUACAUGCAAGUCGAGCGAACGGACGAGAAGCUUGCUUCUCUGAUGUUAGCGGCGGACGGGUGAGUAACACGUGGAUAACCUACCUAUAAGACUGGGAUAACUUCGGGAAACCGGAGCUAAUACCGGAUAAUAUUUUGAACCGCAUGGUUCAAAAGUGAAAGACGGUCUUGCUGUCACUUAUAGAUGGAUCCGCGCUGCAUUAGCUAGUUGGUAAGGUAACGGCUUACCAAGGCACGAUGCAUAGCCGACCUGAGAGGGUGAUCGGCCACGACUGGAACUGAGACACGGUCCAGACUCCUACGGGAGGCAGCAGUAGGGAAUCUUCCGCAAUGGGCGAAAGCCUGACGGAGCAACGCCGCGUGAGUGAUGAAGGUCUUCGGAUCGUAAAACUCUGUUAUUAGGG
rnacentral:rRNA from 1 species